rnacentral:rRNA from 1 species
GGAAUUUUGGACAAUGGACGCAAGUCUGAUCCAGCCAUUCCGCGUGCAGGACGAAGGCCUUCGGGUUGUAAACUGCUUUUGUACGGAACGAAAAAGCUCUUAUUAAUACUAGGAGUCCAUGACGGUACCGUAAGAAUAAGCACCGGCUAACUACGUGCCAGCAGCCGCGGUAAUACGUAGGGUGCAAGCGUUAAUCGGAAUUACUGGGCGUAAAGCGUGCGCAGGCGGUUAUAUAAGACAGAUGUGAAAUCCCCGAGCUUAACUUGGGAACUGCAUUUGUGACUGUAUAGCUAGAGUACGGCAGAGGGGGAUGGAAUUCCGCGUGUAGCAGUGAAAUGCGUAGAUAUGCGGAGGAACACCGAUGGCGAAGGCAAUCCCCUGGGCCUGUACUGACGCUCAUGCACGAAAGCGUGGGGAGCAAACAGGAUUAGAUACCCUGGUAGUCCACGCCCUAAACGAUGUCAACUGGUUGUUGGGUCUUCACUGACUCAGUAACGAAGCUAACGCGUGAAGUUGACCGCCUGGGGAGUACGGCCGCAAGGUUGAAACUCAAAUGAAUUGACGG